AAAAAAGAUCGGGCUGGAAAGCUCAACUUGUCAAAAAUGUCACUGUGUCCAAAAGGGCAAGAAGCACCAUUGACACUUAUUGUGUAGCAAACCUGGUGGUUUGGUGCUUGUGUUGAACUGAACUGAAAUCACAAAUUUUGGUUUGCAACAAGCAAUGGUUUUUCUCUAGCUUGUUUCUCUUUCGGUGUCUGACACAAUUUCCUGGUUUCUUUUGGGGCUGACUAAAUUUCAAGACAGCAAUAAGAGCAUUUUCUGCCGCUCACUCUUGUCAUCACUGCAGGAGGACAUGCUUCUUUAGACGGGCAUGAGAGCGAAAGGACGGGGCUGUGGACGGCCAUCUCCACAAGAAAAUCCCUGGAGGGUGUAGCUACAAAAUGCUGAGAAUCAGAGGGUCCCACCAAACCGACUUUAAUAUCCAACAAAGGCACUGUUCUGUCCUGGACUCUCCACAAAUGUCGAGGUCAUGAAGAAUAAGAAAGACUGAGAACCUGUUCCAGAUUGAAGGAAAUUAGAGAUGUGACAACUGAAUACACCUUAUGAUCUGGGACGGGAUCCUAGACCCAAGGACAUUAGUGGGUCAAUGGCAAAAUCUGAGUAAAGCUUGUAGAUAAGGUAAUAGCAUUUGUGUUAUUACUUUCCUGAUUUAAGUAACUGUACUGCAGUUAUGUAAGAAGGGGUCUUUCUUCUUAGAAAAUGCAUGCUGAAGUACUGAUGGACAAAAGAGCAUGAUGCCUGCAACUCACUCUCAAAUGGUUCCGAGAAAAAAAUAAUAGCAUGUAUACAAAUGGAAAACAAUCAAACAAAUGUAAAACGGUAACAAAUGGAGAACCUGGGGGAAGGAGAUAUGGGGAGUUUUUUGUGCUGUUCUUCAAAAGUUUGUAUAAACCUGGGAUUAUUUAUAAAUAAAAAGUUACGGCCGGGCACAGUGA